AUUGAACGCUGGCGGCAGGCCUAACACAUGCAAGUCGAGCGAGCGGCGGACGGGUGAGUAAUGUAUGGGGAUCUGCCCGGUAGAGGGGGAUAACUACUGGAAACGGUGGCUAAUACCGCAUACUAUCGGAUGAACCCAUAUGGGAUUAGCUAGUAGUUGGGGUAAAGGCUCACUUAGGCGACGAUCUCUAGCUGGUCGGAGAGGAUGACCAGCCACACUGGGACUGAGACACGGUCCAGACUCCUACGGUAGUCAGCAGUGGGUAAUAUUGCACAAUGGGCGAAAGCCUGAUGCAGCCAUGCCGCGUGUAUGAAGAGGGCCUUAGGGUUGUAAAGUACUUUCAGCGGGGAGGCGUUACCCGCAGAAGAAGCACCGGCUAACUCCGUGCCAGCAGCCGCGGUAAUUC
rnacentral:rRNA from 1 species